GCUUGUCUCAAAGAUUAAGCCAUGCAUGUCUCAGCAUAAGUUCUUGUACGGCCAAGCUGCGAAUCGCUUCUUGAAGCAGUUGCAGUUUAUUUGACGGUCGUCCCUUACAUGGUAACUUUUGUAGUUCUAGAGCUAUUGCAUGCACCCAUGCCCGGCUUUGUGGAAGGGUUGCGUGUAUAUGUUAGUUAUAGAACCAGCCCAGGCUCUGCCUGGUCUUGUGGUGACUCGUGAUAACCAAACGAGUCUCAUGGCAUCAGUUGGCAUUGAGUCGUUCAAGUUUCAGACCUGUCCGCUUCCGACGGUAGGGCAUUUGACGGGCAAUGGAGAAUGAGGGUUCGAGAGAGCUUGGAAAACGGCUACCACAUCUAAGGAAGGCAGCAGG
rnacentral:rRNA from 1 species